AUGGGCGAUCCCCCGUGUAAGAGUGAGGUGGAGGAGGACAUUCCAGUCCAUGUGACCACAGGAUCUAUAUCUUGCAAUCCACUACAGCUUCGAACGUAAGACUACCAUCAUUUUAUAGACAACGGAUCAAGAAAUUGAAGGAAUUGUCAAGUUCGAAGGAGGAAGUCUAGUGAUAUGGAUUUGUUUCGCAGCCAAAGUCUUUGGCUACUUGACCAGGAUCGAUGGUGGUCUCAAUGCUGAGGUACAUAUGGACUCAUAGAAGGAAAUCCCCCAGAGAGAUGUCCCCGUCCUCUGUAUUCC